rnacentral:rRNA from 2 species
AAACGACUCUCGGCAACGGAUAUCUCGGCUCUCGCAUCGAUGAAGAACGUAGCGAAAUGCGAUACUUGGUGUGAAUUGCAGAAUCCCGUGAACCAUCGAGUCUUUGAACGCAAGUUGCGCCCGAAGCCACUAGGCCGAGGGCACGCCUGCC